GUGUAUUCCAACUGCUUUGAGACUCUUGUUCCACGUGGAGGUGUCUUAAGUAAAUGCUCUUCUGAGAUCAGAAAAACUGUAUUGCUCUUCCCUUGCUCGUUUUAGGUCCUUCCAAGGAAGCAUCUAACGAAAGCACUGCUCCUGGACCUCCUACCACAGCAGUCACUGCUUCCACAGGAGUCAAAAUAACUUCUGGAACUGGAGUGCAAACAGUGUCUUAUAUUUCCUUUUGCGAGGCUCCACCUUGGUUCCAGCUGGAGUGCCAACAAGACCACAAGUACCCCAGUCAGGUAAAAUCAGAUGACCCAAAUGAACUGGAAUAAAUUGUCUGUUCCACACAAAGCUUUCCUUGAGUAUGAAUUUGUGCCAUCAUUUGGGCAUGUACAUAAACACAGACUUGAUAUGUGUAGGUUAUUCUAAU
rnacentral:lncRNA from 10 species